GCUGGCAUUGAGCAGAUGUCACUUUGUGCACGAUAUAUAGAUACUCAAAAUAACAUUAUAAAAGAGAUGUUUCUACAAUUUAUCCCAGUUUCAAGCAUGACUGGGUCUGCCUUAGCUGAUGUAAUAUUUGACAAUCUUGAAAAAUUCAAACUUAAUAUAAAUUUGAUACGUGGGCAAGGGUAUGAUGGAGCUCGUGCAAUGAGUGGGCAAUUCAAUGGGCUUCAAGCAUUUAUAAAAAAAAAUGCCCAACAGCUAUAUAUGUCCAUUGUGCUGCUCAUUCCCUCAACCUGGCAAUAUCUAAUGCAUGUUCUUUGCCAUUGAUAUCAAAUUGCUUAGGCAAAAUAUCUAGCAUCUAUGAAAUGUUUAGAUAUCCC